GGCGGAAUAGCUCAGAUGGUAGAGCGGUGGAAUCAUAAUCCAUGUGUCGGGGGUUCGAUCCCCUCUUCCGCUACCA
rnacentral:tRNA from 1 species